rnacentral:rRNA from 1 species
GACCACACGAAGCUGGAAUCGCUAGUAAUCGCGAAUCAGAAUGUCGCGGUGAAUACGUUCCCGGGUCUUGUACACACCGCCCGUCACACCAUGGGAGUCAGCAACGCCCGAAGUCAGUGACCUAACCGAAAGGGAGGAGCUGCCGAAGGCGGGGCCGGUAACUGGGGUGAAGUCGUAACAAGGUAUC